GCAAGUCGAACGAGAUCUUCGGAGCUAGUGGCGCACGGGUGCGUAACGCGUGGGGAUCUACCAUGGGGUGCGGAAUAACUCAGAGAAAUUUGAGCUAAUACCGCAUAAUGUCUUCGGACCAAAGAUUUAUCGCCCUUUGAUGAACCCGCGUAGGAUUAGCUUGUUGGUGAGGUAAGAGCUCACCAAGGCGACGAUCCUCAGCUGGUCUGAGAGGAUGAUC
rnacentral:rRNA from 1 species